GAAGGGGGCUAGCGUUGUUCGGAAUUACUGGGCGUAAAGCGCGCGCAGGCGGUUCUUCAAGUCAGAGGUGAAAGCCCAGGGCUCAACCCUGGAAUGGCCUUUGAGACUAGAGAACUAGGGUACGGGAGAGGUGAGUGGAAUUCCGAGUGUAGAGGUGAAAUUCGUAGAUAUUCGGAAGAACACCAGUGGCGAAGGCGGCUCACUGGCCCGUUACCGACGCUCAGGCGCGACAGCGUGGGGAGCAAACAGGAUUAGAUACCCUGGUAGUCCACGCCGUAAACGAUGGAUGCUAGCCGUUGGUAAGCAUGCUUAUCAGUGGCGCAGCUAACGCAUUAAGCGUCCCGCCUGGGGAGUACGGCCGCAAGGUUGAA
rnacentral:rRNA from 1 species